rnacentral:rRNA from 1 species
AGUGAACGCUGGCGGUAGGCCUAACACAUGCAAGUCGAACGGCAGCACAGUAAGAGCUUGCUCUUACGGGUGGCGAGUGGCGGACGGGUGAGGAAUACAUCGGAAUCUACUUUUUCGUGGGGGAUAACGUAGGGAAACUUACGCUAAUACCGCAUACGACCUACGGGUGAAAGCAGGGGAUCUUCUGACCUUGCGCGAUUGCAUGAGCCGAUGUCGGAUUAGCUAGUUGGCGGGGUAAAGGCCCACCAAGGCGACGAUCCGUAGCUGGUCUGAGAGGAUGAUCAGCCACACUGGAACUGAGACACGGUCCAGACUCCUACGGGAGGCAGCAGUGGGGAAUAUUGGACAAGGGGCGCAAGCCUGAUCCAGCCAUACCGCGUGGGUGAAGAAGGCCUUCGGGUUGUAAAGCCCUUUUGUUGGGAAAGAAAAGCAGCAGGUUAAUAACCCGCUGUUCUGACGGUACCCAAAGAAUAAGCACCGGCUAACUUCGUG